rnacentral:rRNA from 1 species
CCGCUGUGACUACACUUGUUGCCUCUGCGGAUCAGCCCGCUCCCGGUAAAACGGGACGGCCCGCCGAGGACCCCUAAACUCUGUUUCUAUAUGUAACUUCUGAGUAAAACCAUAAAUAAAUCAAAACUUUCAACAACGGAUCUCUUGGUUCUGGCAUCGAUGAAGAACGCAGCAAAAUGCGAUAAGUAAUGUGAAUUGCAGAAUUCAGUGAAUCAUCGAAUCUUUGAACGCACAUUGCGCCCGCCAGUAUUCUGGCGGGCAUGCCUGUUCGAGCGUCAUUUCAACCCUCAAGCACAGCUUGGUGUUGGGACUCGCGUUAAUUCGCGUGUCUCACAUUGAUUGGCGGUCACGUCGAGCUUCCAUAGGGUACUAUUAAAACCCUCCUUACUGGUAAUCGUCCGGGCCAAUCCCUUAAGCCCCCACUUCUUAAUGUUGACC